AACCUGGUUGAUCUUGCCAGUAGUCAUAUGCUUGUCUCACAGAUUAAGCCAUGCAAGUGAAAGUACAUAUGUAAAUAAUAUAUUGAAACUGCGAACGGCUCAUUAAAACAGUUAUAAUCUACUUGAUGUUUUUAAUAUAAGGAUAACUACGGAAAAUCUGUAGCUAAUACUUGUGAAAAUACCUUUUGAUAUAUACAUAUAUAUAUAUAUGUAUGUAUCAUUAAGGUAUGUAUUUGUUAGAUAUAAGAAUAAAAUAAAUAUAAUUGAAUUAUAACAAAGAAGAAACACAUAAAAUAUGUGUAUUAUCAAUCGAGUAUCUGACCUAUCAGCUUUUGAUGUUAGGGUAUUGACCUAACAUGGCUAUGACGGGUAACGGGGAAUUAGAGUUCGAUUCCGGAGAGGGAGCCUGAGAAAUAGCUACCACAUCUAAGGAAGGCAGCAGGCGCGUAAAUUACCCAAUUCUAAAAAAGAGAGGUAGUGACAAGAAAUAACAAUACAAUAUCGAAAAAUGAUUUUGUAAUUGGAAUGAUAGGAAUUUACAAGGUUCCUAGAGAAACAAUUGGAGGGCAAGUCUGGUGCCAGCAGCCGCGGUAAUUCCAGCUCCAAUAGCAUAUAUUAAAAUUGUUGCAGUUAAAACGUUCGUAGUUGAAUAUUAAAGAAUCCGAUGUUUCAUUUAAACUGGUUUGGGAAAACCAAAUAUAUUAUAUAUUUUGCUUUGUUCAAAAUAAGGUUUUCUAAUAAAUUAUGUUUUUAUCAGAUAUGACAGAAUCUUUUUUAAAAUCUCUUCAAUAUGCUUUUAUUGCUUUUGAGAGGUUUUGUUACUUUGAGUAAAAUUAAGUGUUCAUAACAGACGGGUAGUCAUGAUUGAGUUCAUUGUGUUUGAAUACUACAGCAUGGAAUAACAAAUAUGAAUAAGCUAAUUAUUUUUUUUUUUCAUAAUUUUUUUUGAUAUUCUUAUUAGCUUAGUUACGAUUAAUAGGAGUAGCUUUGGGGGCAUUCGUAUUCAGAUGUCAGAGGUGAAAUUCUAAGAUUUUCUGGAGACGGACUACUGCGAAAGCAUUUGCCUAAUCUAUUUCCAUUAAUCAAGAACGAAAGUUAAGGGAGUGAAGACGAUCAGAUACCGUCGUAAUCUUAACCAUAAACUAUACCGACUAGGUGUUGGAUGAAUAUAAAAAAUAUAUAAAUAUGUAGCAUUUCUUAGGGAAUGUUGAUUUUAUAUUAGAAUUGCUUCCUUCAGUACCUUAUGAGAAAUCAAAGUCUUUGGGUUCUGGGGCGAGUAUUCGCGCAAGCGAGAAAGUUAAAAGAAUUGACGGAAGGGCACCACCAGGCGUGGAGCUUGCGGCUUAAUUUGACUCAACACGGGAAAACUCACUAGUUUAAGACAAGAGUAGGAUUGACAGAUUAAUAGCUCUUUCUUGAUUUCUUGGAUGGUGAUGCAUGGCCGUUUUUAGUUCGUGAAUAUGAUUUGUCUGGUUAAUUCCGAUAACGAACGAGAUCUUAACCUGCUAAUUAGCGGUAAGUACACUAUAUUUUUAUUUGAAAUUGAAUAUAGGUAAUUAUACAUGUUUAUUCAGUGUUCAAAUUAGGAUAUUUUUUUAUUAAAAUAUUCUUUUCCCUGUUUUACUAAUAAUUUGUUUUUUUUUACUCUAUUUCUCUCUUCUUUUAAGAAUGUACUUGCUUGAUUAAAUAAAGCUUCUUAGAGGAACAGUGUGUAUCUAACACAAGGAAGUUUAAGGCAACAACAGGUCUGUGAUGUCCUUAGAUAAACUAGGCUGCACGCGUGCUACAAUGAUAUAUAUAACAAGUUGUUAAAAAUGUACUUAUAAAUAAGUGUGUACAAUUUUUCCUGUACUGAAAAGUAUAGGUAAUCUUUAUCAGUAUAUAUCGUAAUUGGGAUAGAUUAUUGCAAUUAUUAAUCUUGAACGAGGAAUGCCUAGUAAGCAUGAUUCAUUAGAUUGUGCUGACUACGUCCCUGCCCUUUGUACACACCGCCCGUCGCUCCUACCGAUUGAAAGAUAUGAUGAAUUGUUUGGAUAUGAAUUAAAAUAAUGAAAUUUUAUAUUUCUGAUUUUUUCUAGAAGAACUGUAAAUCCUAUCUUUUAAAGGAAGGAGAAGUCGUAACAAGGUUUCCGUAGGUGAACCUGCGGAAGGAUCAUUA
rfam:Plasmodium falciparum Senegal_V34.04 cont1.365, whole genome shotgun sequence.